CUACGUGCCAGCAGCCGCGGUAAUACGUAGGGCGCGAGCGUUGUCCGGAAUUAUUGGGCGUAAAGAGCUUGUAGGCGGUUUGUCGCGUCUGCUGUGAAAGGCCGGGGCUUAACCCCGUGUAUUGCAGUGGGUACGGGCAGACUAGAGUGCAGUAGGGGAGACUGGAAUUCCUGGUGUAGCGGUGGAAUGCGCAGAUAUCAGGAGGAACACCGAUGGCGAAGGCAGGUCUCUGGGCUGUAACUGACGCUGAGAAGCGAAAGCAUGGGGAGCGAACAGGAUUAGAUACCCUGGUAGUCCAUGCCGUAAACGUUGGGCACUAGGUGUGGGGGACAUUCCACGUUUUCCGCGCCGUAGCUAACGCAUUAAGUGCCCCGCCUGGGGAGUACGGCCGCAAGGCUAAAACUCAAAGAAAUUGACGGGGGCCCGCACAAACGGCGGAGCAUGCGGAUUAAUUCGAUGCAACGCGAAGAACCUUACCAAGGCUUGACAU
rnacentral:rRNA from 1 species